GACGAAUGCUGGCGGCGUGCUUAACACAUGCAAGUCGAACGGAAAGGCCCUGCUUUUGUGGGGUGCUCGAGUGGCGAACGGGUGAGUAACACGUGAGUAACCUGUCCUUGACUUUGGGAUAACUUCAGGAAACUGGGGCUAAUACCGGAUAGGAGCUCCUGCUGCAUGGUGGGGGUUGGAAAGUUUCGGCGGUUGGGGAUGGACUCGCGGCUUAUCAGCUUGUUGGUGGGGUAGUGGCUUACCAAGGCUUUGACGGGUAGCCGGCCUGAGAGGGUGACCGGCCACAUUGGGACUGCGAUACGGCCCAGACUCCUACGGGAGGCAGCAGUGGGGAAUAUUGCACAAUGGGCGGAAGCCUGAUGCAGCAACGCCGCGUGCGGGAUGACGGCCUUCGGGUUGUAAACCGCUUUCGCCUGUGACGAAGCGUGAGUGACGGUAAUGGGUAAAGAAGCACCGGCUAACUACGUG
rnacentral:rRNA from 1 species